UACAGAGGUCCCGAGCGUUGUUCGGAUUCAUUGGGCGUAAAGGGUGCGUAGGCGGCGGGGCAAGUCUGAUGUGAAAUCCCGGGGCUCAACCCCGGAACUGCAUUGGAUACUGCCUUGCUAGAGUACUGGAGAGGGAACUGGAAUUUACGGUGUAGCAGUGAAAUGCGUAGAGAUCGUAAGGAAGGCCAGUGGCGAAGGCGGGUUGCUGGGCUGAUACUGACGCUGAGGCGCGAAAGCCAGGGGAGCGAACGGG
rnacentral:rRNA from 1 species